rnacentral:pre_miRNA from 13 species
CAGCUACCUCCUGAGAAUGGCACUGAAAGAAUUCACGGGUACUCAGUGAUACUCCCGUGGUUCCACAGUGCCAUACUCAGUGGGCCGGCGC